rnacentral:rRNA from 1 species
UACGUAGGGUGCGAGCGUUAAUCGGAAUUACUGGGCGUAAAGCGUGCGCAGGCGGUUUUGUAAGCCGGAUGUGAAAUCCCCGGGCUUAACCUGGGAAUGGCAUUCGGGACUGCAAGGCUGGAGUGCGGCAGAGGAGACUGGAAUUCCUGGUGUAGCAGUGAAAUGCGUAGAUAUCAGGAGGAACACCGAUGGCGAAGGCAGGUCUCUGGGCUGACACUGACGCUCAUGCGCGAAAGCGUGGGGAGCAAACAGG